AGACGUCUACAUUAGACUACCCCCGUAGUCCCAGCCGUAAACUAUGCGCGUUAGGUGUAUCGGUGACCACGAGUUACCGAGGUGCCGAAGGGAAACCGUGAAACGUGCCGCCUGGGAAGUACGGUCGCAAGGCUGAAACUUAAAGGAAUUGGCGGGGAGCACCACAACAGGUGGAGCCUGCGGUUUAAUUGGACUCAACGCCGGGAAGCUCACCGGAUAGGACAGCAGAAUGAUUGCCGGGCUGAAGACCCUGCAUGACUAGCUG
rnacentral:rRNA from 1 species